UCACCCUACAAACGAACUUGGGCUGAAAAAUCUCCGCAAAAAAUCGAAGCAUUUCUCGGCCACAAGGUCAAACGAGAUCUUCAUGCCAAAUGAGAAAUAUCUUCUCUAACACGUUCUCAUAACCUAAAAUUUUACUUGAAAGAAAAACCCAGUCUUAAGUUUCAUGAGACGUCACAAACACUUGAAGAACUGGCCUUUCAAAAUAAAAUUUCUUCCCUGAUUAAAGUUCCAUCUUCGAAACUCGAACAGUCACACGCACUAACAUCUUUUCAAAAGCAUACCAUUCGCGAAGGCUCC
rnacentral:lncRNA from 1 species